rnacentral:rRNA from 1 species
CACGUAGGGGGCAAGCGUUGUCCGGAUUUAUUGGGCGUAAAGAGCUCGUAGGCGGCUUAGUAAGUCGGGUGUGAAACCUCCAGGCUCAACCUGGAGACGCCACCCGAUACUGCUGUGGCUAGAGUCCGGUAGGGGGAGCGUGGAAUUCCUAGUGUAGCGGUGAAAUGCGCAGAUAUUAGGAAGAACACCGGUGGCGAAGGCGGCUCUCUGGAACGGUACUGACGCUGAGACGCGAAAGCGUGGGGAGCGAACAGG